rnacentral:rRNA from 1 species
AUGGCGACCAUCACCACGCAGCUCCGCUCCGCGCUCCUCUCCCCGGCCGCCUCGUCGUCGGCCUCCCUCGACCCGGACUUCGACAAGAAGGCCUUCCGCCACAACCUCACCCGCAGCGACAACUACAACCGCAAGGGCUUCGGCCACAAGAAGGAGACCCUCGAGCUCAUGAGCCAGGAGUACACCAGCGAUGUAAUAAAGACGCUCAAGGACAACGGGAACGAGUACACCUGGGGGCCGGUGACCGUGAAGCUGGCGGAGGCCUACGGCUUCUGCUGGGGCGUCGAGCGCGCCGUGCAGAUCGCCUACGAGGCGCGCAAGCAGUUCCCCGAGGAGCGCAUCUGGAUCACCAACGAGAUCAUCCACAACCCCACGGUCAACAAGAAAUUGGAGGACAUGGGUGUCAAAGAUAUUCCUGUUAAUGCUGGUAUUAAGGAUUUUGAUGUUAUUGAACAAGGUGAUGUUGUCGUCUUGCCUGCAUUUGGAGCUGCUGUGGAUGAGAUGUACACACUAAAUGAGAAGAACGUGCAAAUUGUUGAUACAACAUGCCCUUGGGUUUCAAAGGUGUGGAACAUGGUUGAGAAGCAUAAGAAGGGCGACUAUACUUCUAUUAUUCACGGAAAAUAUGCCCAUGAAGAGACUGUUGCCACUGCUUCUUUUGCAGGGAAGUACAUUAUUGUGAAGAAUAUGGCCGAGGCAACAUAUGUAUGUGACUAUAUACUUGGUGGCCAACUUGAUGGAUCUAGCUCAACUAGAGAGGAGUUCCUUGAGAAAUUCAAAAAGGCUGUUUCUCCAGGAUUCGAUCCUGAUGUUGACUUGGAAAAGGCGGGCAUUGCAAAUCAAACAACAAUGCUUAAAGGAGAAACUGAAGAAAUUGGAAAACUUGUUGAGAAGACUAUGAUGCGUAAGUAUGGAGUCGAGAAUGCCAAUGAACACUUUGUUGCCUUCAACACUAUUUGUGAUGCCACACAGGAAAGACAAGAUGCGAUGUAUCACCUAGUGAAGGAAAAGGUUGACCUUAUUCUGGUUAUUGGAGGGUGGAACUCCAGUAAUACCUCUCAUCUGCAAGAAAUUGGAGAACUCAGUGGAAUUCCGUCCUACUGGAUUGACAGUGAACAAAGGAUUGGACCAGGAAACAGGAUUAGCUACAAGCUAAAUCACGGUGAACUUAUUGAGGCCGAAAACUGGCUACCAAAAGGGCCUAUCACAAUUGGAGUUACUUCUGGUGCCUCAACUCCAGACAAGGUUGUCGAGGAUACGCUACACAAGGUGUUUGACAUCAAGCGUCAAGAAGUUUUGCAGGUUGCAUAG